UAGUUACAGGGUUCUUUGGAUCAGAUAUCUAAAUCUCGAGAUGUUCCUUCUAUUGCUAAGACAAUUUCAAAGAGAAAAAGAAUUUAUGGCGACGGUCAUAGUCAACAACUUGGUACUGUUGGGCAGCAGAAUAAUGUGAAGAGCAAGGAAACAUUUCUCGAUGACAGGGAGAUGCAACCAUCAUACAAAC